rnacentral:lncRNA from 1 species
AUGAGCUACGGCUUGGGUGGCGCGGGUGGGGAGGAGCUCGGCACUGGGGAGGCUGACUGGAGUGGCGGCUACGGCAUGGAGCACAGCCAGCAGCGGGACGAGGGGCCGGGCUCUGGGCGGCCUAGCUGGGCUGGCGGGUAUGGCACCAGCAACACGCAGGGGAAGGAUGGGGAGCUCAGCCCAGACUGGGCCAGUAAAUACAGCAGCAGGGAUGGUGAGGCCAAGGAAAAGGAUUUUACGCUGGGCUGGGCUGGCAGAUCCAGCACCGGGGACACUGGGAGCCCAGAGAAGGAGUUCAGCCCCAGCAGAGUGGCCUGGGACAGCAGCUACAGCCCCAGGGACAUGGAGAGCCAGGACCGGGAGUUCAGCCCCAGCAGACCAGCCUGGGACGAUGGGUUCAGCGCUAGGGACGAGCCCCAUGACGGGGAGUUCAGCCCCAGCAGACCAGUUUGGACUGGAGAGUACAGCGCCCGCGACAUGGAGAGCCAGGACCGGGAGUUCAGCCCCAGCAGACCCGCCUGGGCUAGCGACUACCACAGCAGGGCCAUGGAGAGCCAGGACCGGGAGUUCAGCCCCAGCAGAGCGGCUGAGGCUGGCGAGUACGGCACCGGGGAUGGGGAGAGCCGGGACGGGGAGUUCGGCCCUAGCAGAGCGGCCUGGGAUGAUGGAUAUGGCACCAGGGACAGGGAGACUCAGGAGCAGGAGUUCAGCCCCGGCAGAGCAGCCUGGGCCGGCGAGUACAGCUCUACGAAUGCCCACGAGGAGGACAGAGAGUUUAGUCCUGCCCGGCUGAGCUGGGCUGGGGAGCAUGGCCUUGGCCAAACUGAGCUGGCCGAUGCCUUUGGCAUCAGGGAAGACAACCCGCCUGGCCCCCACAGCCCUGACACCCCAGCGCAGGAGCCAGGCUGGGGCAGCACCGACCGGCGGGAGCACGGCGCCACCGAGAGCAGGGACUGGGCUGGGGAGCUCGGAGGAGCCCAGUGCCACAGCCAGUUUGGCACCAUCGGGACGGAACGGGCGCCGGAUCCCUGCAGCACCAUGGCGGUGGCCAACGGCUCCGCGGCCUGGGCCAGCGCGAGGAGGCCGCUGCAGGACUGGCCUGGCGAUCUUUCCUUUGGCAGCCCGGAGGCCACCGGCUGGGGCCCAGGCCUGGGCAACCUUCCUGCUGCAGGCCAUCUGGGCCAGGCACCAGAGGCCGGACUGGGCGAGCCAGGCUGGAGCGCAGAGCUGCGCGACGCCGAGGCCAAGCGCCAGGAGUGGGCCAGUGCAUUUGGCGCCCGCUGUGCGGCCCGCAGCCGAGACUGUGGCGACGGCGAGCGGAGCCCAGAAGGCGACGGCGGCUCGGCCAAUGGGUAA